UACGUAGGGACCGAGCGUUGUCCGGAAUCAUUGGGCGUAAAGAGCGUGUAGGCGGCCUUUUAAGUCCUGCGUGAAAUCCUGCGGCUCAACCGCAGACGGUCGUGGGAAACUGGAAGGCUAGAGUGCGGGAGAGGCGAGUGGAAUUCCUGGUGUAGCGGUGAAAUGCGCAGAUAUCAGGAGGAACACCAAUUGCGAAGGCAGCUCGCUGGAACGUAACUGACGCUGAGACGCGAAAGCGUGGGGAGCAAACGGG
rnacentral:rRNA from 1 species